UACGAUCGACGUCGCAUCGAUGUGAAAUUGUCGCGACGUCAUAUAUCGAUAAUCGAAACAUCGAGCGAGUGCGAGGUGCGAGAUGGGUCCAGUAGUCUAGUCCCAUUCCCAGUCCGAAUCGAGACACAUCAAGCAGGUGGGAGUAGUGAGUGUCACGAAGAAAUACGGACAAUGAAAUAAGAGAGAAAAAGAACGCUCGAGGCAGCAUCAAAUAAUAGCACAAUUAACAUGAGAUCAAUGACAAUAUACCGACAAAUUGAGGGGAAAAGAAGUCUGAGAAAGGCAUUAGAUCGUAAAAGCAAUCCUAACGAAUCAAUAAUUAAUGACACCAUCAAAAUGAGAGAGCAGGACGUCUCAGAAAAGAAUCGAGCGCUGACAAAAUAGAAAAUUAACGAAAUGAACGAUAUCAAAUUGAGAGAGGAGGAACUAUGGGGAAAGACGUUGGCAAAGCAAUCUUAAAAUCAACGCAAUAAACAAUACCAAAUUGAGAGGAGAAAAUAUGAGGAAAGACGCCGGCAAAACAACUUUAAAAUUAACAACACCAUCAAAUUGAGAGGAGGAGGAGGUCUGUGAGACAUCGGGCGCCGGCUAAGUUAUCUUAAGAUUAACAUAGUUUGUUCUGCUAUUGCAUCGAGUGUUGGUGAGUGAUAAAUCAUUUUAUUAUGAGGUAACGGUUUUAGAUAGAGUGUGUGAAAAUGUAGAUUUAGAUAGUGCAAAUUGUAGAUUGUAGAUUGUAGAUAGUGCAAAUUGUAGACUGUAGAUUGUAGAUAGUGCAAAUUGUAGACUGUAGAUUGUAGAUAGUUCCAUUACCUUGAACAAUAGAACAAUUUACAAUAGAUUAACAUUUCAAUUUUUAAAAAGAACAAAAAUAUUUUUA